rnacentral:tRNA from 1 species
GCUUGUAUAGUUUAAUAAAAACGGUAGUCUUGUAAGCUACAGUUGACUCGUCUAUAAGCA